CCCAGUCUGUGGCUAAAGAGGGGAAUUACAGGAUGGGAAAAGUGGCUUAGGCUGCAAUUCUGCUUUGCAGAUGAGAAGGAGCUUCCCUGGAGUACCUGCAAACAUACUGGGAAUGCUGACUCUUUACAGUUUGUCCCUAGACAUCUUGUUGAAAAGCUUCAGAACAACAGGAGUGGUAUCACAGGCAGAGGAUGGGGAUUAGCCUCUGAGUCUUGCCUACCCUCUUCUACCGCUUUUCUCCUUUCCUACAGCCCAAAAUGUCAAGCUAUUGAUUCGGAGGUGAUGUCAAGGUCAUUUGGGAUUCUGACACUUUCCUUGAGAGUUCUCCUUGGGAAUGCUUGGAGAUUUUGGUGACUUUUGGCCAGACACAAAUGUCCUAGUUAUGUUCUAUUUCCUCUUGACAGCUGUACCAGGGAACAAUGUUUUAAUGGGAAUAAUUUAAAUUUUUAAGAUGUCGGUCCCUGAAUAAAGAACGUUCAAGACUGAAGAAAUUCUAAACACUAUCAUACUUAAUGCAAUCCUUAUCCUACCC